rnacentral:rRNA from 1 species
GCUCCGGAGGUGGGGCUAGCCUUGCGAGUCACAUAGCAAUAUGUGGCAUACGGCUCAGUAACACGUAGUCAACAUGCCCAGGGGACGUGGAUAACCUCGGGAAACUGAGGAUAAACCGCGAUAAGUCACUACUUCUGGAAUGGGUAAUGACUCAAACCUAUAUGGCCCCUGGAUUGGACUGCGGCCGAUCAGGCUGUUGGUGAGGUAAUGGCCCACCAAACCUGUAACCGGUACGGGCUCUGAGAGGAGGAGCCCGGAGAUGGGCACUGAGACAAGGGCCCAGGCCCUAUGGGGCGCAGCAGGCGCGAAACCUCUGCAAUAGGCGAAAGCCUGACAGGGUUACUCUGAGUGAUCUCCGUUAAGGAGAUCUUUUGGCACCUCUAAAAAUGGUGCAGAAUAAGGGGUGGGCAAGUCUGGUGUCAGCCGCCGCGGUAAUACCAGCACCCCGAGUGGUCGGGACGUUUAUUGGGCCUAAAGCAUCCGUAGCCGGUUCUACAAGUCUUCCGUUAAAUCCAGCUGCUUAACAGAUGGGCUGCGGAAGAUACUAUGGAGCUAGGAGGCGGGAGAGGCAAGCGGUACUCGAUGGGUAGGGGUAAAAUCCGUUGAUCCAUUGAAGACCACCAGUGGCGAAGGCGGCUUGCCAGAACGCGCUCGACGGUGAGGGAUGAAAGCUGGGGGAGCAAACCGGAUUAGAUACCCGGGUAGUCCCAGCUGUAAACGAUGCAGACUCGGUGAUGAGUUGGCUACAUGCCAUCUCAGUGCCGCAGGGAAGCCGUUAAGUUUGCCGCCUGGGGGAGUACGGUCGCAAGACUGAAACUUAAAGGAAUUGGCGGGGGAGCACCACAAGGGGUGAAGCCUGCGGUUCAAUUGGAUUCAACGCCGGG